rnacentral:miRNA from 1 species
UCUGCACAUUGCACUCCACUGGC